ACUGCACGCGUGUCUGUUCUGGGGAGGGAAAAAGGCGCCGCUUCGCCAAUCAGAAUCCCGUGCUUCCCUCUUCGCAGACAAUGUGAAACUGGCGCAUUAGGCAGGGCCCAAUUUCUCCCUGCGCUUAAGUAGGCGGUUUGUCCUUCCCUUUGCGGGCAACAGAGCUAAGGCUCUUGCCGGGCCUUCGAGUGUCCUGCGUGCCCCACUCGUGGUCACUCCUUAGUCCCUGCCCCGGCGUUCGGCUGUGCGUGUUCACAAAAUGGCCGUCGAGACCGGAUCUGCGUUCGUGUUUUGCUAACCUCGUACUGGUAUCCCUCCGCUCAGCCGCUGCGAAGGGGGAACAUACCCCGGCGACGCUAGAGGAGGAGUGGCACGAAUGCCCCUCCCUUUCCUGUUUGUCUCUCCCGACCCAGGGUGUAUUUCCAGGCCGCUGUACCACCAGUGUAGACGUAGUAGGUUUGCAUCUUGGUGGAGUCGAGGAAUGGGUGGUGAUACCUGGCUCCUCAAGCACUUAGAGCCAUUCUCUCUGGAAUUAACUUGAUUAUCACACCAAGGUCCAUGGACUACUUUAAGUCUCCUAGAGCACUUUCAAUGACCCAUGGAGCUGCUGCUUCUAUCCUGGUGGAAUAUCUGGUCAGUCUUAACCAGUGAUGCUUCCUGUCUAAAAGUUUAUAGAGCCUUUUUUUAAAUAGGUAACUCAGAACAAGGCUGCUUUCUAACUUUGUAUUAGAUGCUUCUACUUGUGUAAAUUCAAUCAUACUUAGAUUUUUGAGGCAAGAACCUUACCUCAUUUUGGUGAGGUAGCAAACAUGUAAGAGGACAAAAUCAAACUGCAAACUGACCUGGAGAGAUUAGAGAAAUGGAGUUUUCAGGAAGUUAUGGGAGGUUCACUGUUAACAACUGUGAUAUCCAGGGAAAAUAAAUAACCAGCAUCGAUACAUAAUUGAGGAGCGUAACCAAACCACCAUAUCCAUUUCAGUGAUUUGAGUUUGUUUUCAUUAUGUUGUCUUUAGUAUUGCUCUGAUAUUACUUUUCUGUGUACCCAAGGAGUCUAGUUGCUGCAGAAGAGAUGUGGGACCAGAAGGGGAAGUGUCCACAAGAAAAUCUCAAUCUUUAAAAAUGUUUCCCAAUAUAAAAAAGUUUAAGAACUGGGUUAUACGAUAAACACAUUGAAAACAAUAUUCUGCCUUAUAAAAUUAAAUGUUUUUUAAUAUGGGACUGAUAUGUCGCUGUUAAGGGAUUUUAGCAAUUGUGGCCCUAGGGGAAAAAAAGUUGUUUUUCUGUGUGAUAAAUUUUAUCCAUUCCUAGCAUCUUCUUUGCUCCUAUUCCUUUUGUUACCCAGCUUCUUGCAUCAGGACUAUACCAUAUAAUCAUUAUUACUGUAUUCUACAGAUGUGGUCUAAACCACAUCUUUCAUUAGUGUCUCUACAAUGUUUUGGGACAUUACUAUAUAGGAUGCAUCUGUGUGAUUUUUCUUGCUGAUUUAAGUGUGCAAGAAUGGUUAUCCUGGUAUACAUCUUGUUUUUGUGUGCUAUUUCAAAGAUCAUACAUCAAAAUAAAAACAUUUGAAAGUGUGAUCUCAUGUACAUGUGAUAAAAUAAAAACAAGUACUGAGAAUGGUU